AAAAGGAAGCGAUUCCGGCGGAGGAUGGGCAUGCGGCGCAUUAGCUAGUUGGCGGGGUAACGGCCCACCAAGGCGACGAUGCGUAGGGGUUCUGAGAGGAAGGUCCCCCACACUGGUACUGAGACACGGACCAGACUCCUACGGGAGGCAGCAGUGAGGAAUAUUGGUCAAUGGGCGGGAGCCUGAACCAGCCAAGUCGCGUGAGGGAAGACGGUCCUAUGGAUUGUAAACCUCUUUAGGCGGGGAGCAAUGCCGGGCACGCGUGCCCGGAGGGAGAGUACCCGCAGAAUAAGCAUCGGCUAACUCCGUGCCAGCAGCCGCGGUAAUACGGAGGAUGCGGGCGUUAUCCGGAUUUAUUGGGUUUAAAGGGUGCGUAGGCGGAUUUUUAAGUCAGCGGUAAAAUGUCCGGGCUCAACCCGGGCCGGCCGUUGAAACUGGGGAUCUUGAGUGGGCGAGAAGUAUGCGGAAUGCGUGGUGUAGCGGUGAAAUGCAUAGAUAUCACGCAGAACUCCGAUUGCGAAGGCAGCAUACCGGCGCCCGACUGACGCUGAGGCACGAAAGCGUGGGGAUCGAACAGGAUUAGGUACCCUGGUAGUCCACGCAGUAAACGAUGAAUGCUAGUUGUCCGGUUCUUUGGGACUGG
rnacentral:rRNA from 1 species